rnacentral:rRNA from 1 species
GACGAACGCUGGCGGCGUGCUUAACACAUGCAAGUCGAACGGAAAGGCCCUGCUUUUGUGGGGUGCUCGAGUGGCGAACGGGUGAGUAACACGUGAGUAACCUGCCCUUGACUUUGGGAUAACUUCAGGAAACUGGGGCUAAUACCGGAUAGGAGCUCCUGCUGCAUGGUGGGGGUUGGAAAGUUUCGGCGGUUGGGGAUGGACUCGCGGCUUAUCAGCUUGUUGGUGGGGUAGUGGCUUACCAAGGCUUUGACGGGUAGCCGGCCUGGGAGGGUGACCGGCCACAUUGGGACUGAGGUACGGCCCAGACUCCUACGGGAGGCAGCAGUGGGGAAUAUUGCACAAGGGGCGGAAGCCUGAUGCAGCAACGCCGCGUGCGGGAUGACGGCCUUCGGGUUAUAAACCGCUUUCGCCUGUGACGAAGCGUGAGUGACGGUAAUGGGUAAAGAAGCACCGGCUAACUACGUG